GGAAAACAAGUCUAAACUUACUUUCCAGUUGAAAGUGGAAUGGAGAUUUAACGUUGGAAGCCGGGAGAGUCUGUCCUGUGAUGAAGCGGUCUCCGAGCCACUUCCACUGGGACGUCACAUCACUGUCUGGGCCCCUUGCACAGCCUGUGCACAGGGAGCAGAUUCCUCUGUUUCAGGGAAUACAGGCCUUUCUAGGAAAAGGACAGGAUGAACGUGGAUAGGUGGGGCCGGAGGGGUUCUGGAGCAUCUGCACAGCGCUGCUUCCCUGCAUUUCUGCAUCCGGUCCCAUCAGUGCACGAACGUUCCUAGGAGAGAAUUCAGCAGUGCAGCAUCCUCUCCGAGCUCUAUGAGUUGAUCGGCUUCCACUGCAAGUCCGUCUUCUUCAAGUGGGUGGCCCCCGUGCAGCGCGUGGCCCCCGGCAUCCCGGAGCCUGGCGGGAAGGCCUGCUACCGACUCCUUCUGCAGACGCUUCCUGGCUACAGUGUGUCACUGAUUCUGCAGGACUUCAACAAAGGUUUUGGAACUAAAACAUUGCUUCAGUCCGAUUAACCAUGCCUUGUUUGGGCCCUGCUCUCCUGUCUCAUCAGGGUGAAUUGUGAUUCGUGUAGAGCAGGACACAGCAGACUUUUUUCUGUCAAGGGCUUGGGAGUCAAUAUUUCAGGAUCUGCAAACAUCCUGAUCUCUGGUGCAGCUGCUCAGCUCUGCUGUUCAGACGCCAGAGCAGCCGGACAGUCCACACACCCACAGAGCUUUAUUCACAGCAGUGGCUGGGGCUGGAUUGGGUGUAUGAACUGCAGUUUGUCCCCACAGCCUCCUCACUAUUGACGCCUGUACCUGAGCGUGCAUUUGCGACAAUGGGUGAACCUACACUGACACGUCAUCACCAAGAGCCCAUACUUGACACUAGGAUUUACACUUGGUGGUGUGCACUCUGUGGGUUUGGACAGAUGUACAAUGACACGUUUCUACCAUCACAGCAUCAUACAGAGUAGUCUGUCUUAGUGACCCUAAAAAUGCUCCGUGCUGCACCUCAUUCAUUACUCCUUCCCCUCUAGCCUCUGACAGUAACUGAUCUUUUAGUCUCUGUGGUUUUGCCUUUCCCAGAACAGCAUACAGUUGGAAUCAGACAGUUGCAGAACCUUCCCAGAUUGGCUUCUUUCACUUAGUAAUAUGCAUUUAAGAUUCCUCCAUGUCUUUCCAUCCCUUGAUAACUCAUUUCAUUUUAACAUCAUAAAUAGUCCAUUUUCUGCCUGGACCACAGUUUAUUUAUCCAUUCACCUACUGAAGAACAGCUUAGUUGUUUCUGAGUUCUGGUGAUUAUGAAUAAAGCUGCUAUUAACAUCUGUAUGCAGAUUUGUGUGAGGACGUAAUUUUCCAUUUUGUUCAGUAAACACCAAGGAGCACAGUUGCCAGAUCAUAUGGUAAGAGUACGUUUAGUUUUGUAAAAAAUUGCCAGACCGCCUUCCAAAGUAUCUGGGCCAUUUUUCAUUCCCACCAGCAAUGCAAGAGAAUUCCUGACGCUCCACAUCCUCACCAGCAUUUGGUGCUGUCAGUGUUCUGAGUUUUGGCAGUUCUGACAGGUGUGCAGUGAUACCUCGCUGUUUCAGUCUGCAGCCCCUUGAUGACAGAUGCUGUGGAGCAUGUUUCCAUAGAUUUCUUUGGCAUCUAGUUUCCUUCUAUGUUGAGGUGUGUGUUGAGGCAUUUUGCUCAUUUUUAAGCAGGUUAUUCAUUCUUCUUGUUGAGUUUAAAGAGAUUUUGUUGUAUUCUGGAUAUCAACCCUUUAUCAAUGUGUCCCUGCCCUUCACCUGCAGCACCGGGGUUGUCCUUUGGGUCUCAGUGGAGUGUCAGCUCUUCAAAGAGGUUCCCUGUCUUCCCUCAGCCUAAAUACUGUCCUUGAAUUUUUCACUUUCAUUGACUCACUUUGUUGUUUUUAAAUAGCAUUUCCCAUAAUUUGUAAGUACAUUAAAAAAAAGGCAAUGAUUGAACACUGCCUCCCCCACCAGGCUGUGUGCCCUGUGAGAGCAGAGACCCUGUCCCCACUCACCAUGUCCCAUGACAGCACAUGUCACAUGUCCAUGUAAAUGUGUGUAACGUGGGGCCAAACCUGAUGAGCAGCUAUGACGACAUGUGUUGGCUACCAUUCAUUGAAUAGAGUUUGUUUCUUGAUCUUAAUUUUAAAUCACAUGAAUGAAACAUGUUUCUUUUGAAAAAUAAAACAACAAAGCACACCUCCA